rnacentral:snRNA from 1 species
AAAUUUGAGGGUGACCUGGCUGUGACAAGACACCGCACUGAUCACCAGUGCUUUUUCAACAGAUCUCACUGGCUUGCUGGGUGUCUCCUUUCUCUUCCAUAGUCCAAUCUCUGUCCUCCCUGAAGCAGAAUGCUCGGUCAAAUGAGACACAUUUAAAAAAAAAAAAAAAAAAAAUCACAUUAUAGAACUUUCUGGGUGGAUUUCUACGUUGAUUUCUGUUUGGGUAAGUAUUGCAUUUCUGGCUCCUCUGAAUUGAAAAAUGGCACUCGGAAAUUAAUGGUAAGAAUAAGAAAUCAUUUUCUUAGGAUUCUCCUUUACA